AUGGUGACUUUGUGUUUUGCUUCCAACCCAGUUGUCCACGGGCAUGCGGGGCUGACCCAGUCUCUGGCCUUCCUCUUGGCGUCCCUGAGAGAGGGCGUGUCCAUCACCUGCAGGACCAACAAUAGCGCCAGGGAUUAUCUGAGGUGUUAUCACCAGAAUCCAGGUCAGGCUCCUCAGCUUCUCAUCUAUGAUGCUGAUAACCUCAAGUCUGGUUUCCCAGACCGGUUCUCUGCAAUUCACUUGUACAGAGAAUUCAUCCUCAAAAUCAGUGCAGUAGAGUAUGAGGAUGCUGCCAGUUAUUACUGCUAG